rfam:Otolemur garnettii contig016303, whole genome shotgun sequence.
GGCCCUGUGGCUCAAAAGAGUAGGGCACUGGCCCCAUAUGCCAGAGAUGGCAGGUUCAAACCCAGCCCUGGCCA